AAUAUUAGUAUUGCAUAUGUUAAAUCUCAAAUCUAGUUAUUUCAGGGCUAGGGUUAAGGAAAAACUAGUUAUUUCAGGAAUAGGGUUAAGUUUAGGGUUGAGGUGGGGUUAGAGUAUUUUUGUGUUUGGUUGGAGGUUGGAGUUAGUCCAGAAUAGUGAAAAAUAGUGUUUGGUUAGAGUAAGUGGGAUAAAAAGGAUAGUGAGUGUUUGUUUGGGGUUUGGUGGGAUUAGAUGUGGUUAGCUAACCUGGGAUAACCCAUUUGAGGUGGGGUUAGCUAACCCCACCUAUUUUUAAAAAUAUUUGAAAAUAAAAUAAGGGUUAAGGGAUUAUUCCACCCCCUAACCCCCAACCAAACAAUAGUAUAUGAGU
rnacentral:lncRNA from 1 species